rnacentral:rRNA from 1 species
GGGGAAUCUUGCACAAUGGGGGAAACCCUGAUGCAGCGACGCCGCGUGAACGAUGAAGCCCUUCGGGGUGUAAAGUUCUUUCGACAGGAACAAUAAUGACGGUACCUGGAGAAGAAGCUGCGGCUAACUACGUGCCAGCAGCCGCGGUAAUACGUAGGCAGCGAGCGUUGUUCGGAGUUACUGGGCGUAAAGAGUGCGUAGGCGGCGAGCCAAGUUUGGUGUGAAAUCUCCCGGCUUAACCGGGAGGGUGCGCCGAAAACUGGUUGGCUGGAGCAUGGGAGAGGAAAGCGGAAUUCCUGGUGUAGCGGUGAAAUGCGUAGAUAUCAGGAGGAACACCUGCGGUGUAGACAGCUUUCUGGACCAAAACUGACGCUGAGGCACGAAAGCGUGGGUAGCAAACA